GCAUAUCAUAGCGGAGGAAAAGAACCCAACAGGGAUUACCUCAGUAACGGCGAGUGAAGCGGUAACAGCUCAAAUUUGAAAGCUGGCUCUUUUAGGGUCCGCGUUGUAAUUUGUAGAAGAUGCUUCGGGUGUGGCCCCGGUCUAAGUUCCUUGGAACAGGACGUCAUAGAGGGUGAGAAUCCCGUAUGUGACUGGGUGCUUUCGCUCAUGUGAAGCUCUUUCGACGAGUCGAGUUGUUUGGGAAUGCAGCUCAAAAUGGGUGGUAAAUUUCAUCUAAAGCUAAAUAUUGGCCAGAGACCGAUAGCGCACAAGUAGAGUGAUCGAAAGAUGAAAAGCACUUUGGAAAGAGAGUUAAACAGUACGUGAAAUUGUUGAAAGGGAAGCGCUUGCAACCAGACUUGCGCGCUGAUGAUCAUCCGGGCUUCUGCCCGGUGCACUCGUCUGCGCUCAGGCCAGCAUCGGUUUCGGUGGUGGGAUAAAGGCCUUGGGAAUGUAGCUCCCCUCGGGGGAGUGUUAUAGCCCUCGGUGCAAUGCCGCCUACCGGGACCGAGGACCGCGCUUCGGCUAGGAUGCUGGCGUAAUGGUUGUAAGCGACCCGUCUUGAAACACGGACCAAGGAGUCUAACAUCUAUGCGAGUGUUUGGGUGUCAAACCCAUACGCGUAAUGAAAGUGAACGGAGGUGAGAACCCUUAAGGGUGCAUCAUCGACCGAUCCUGAUGUCUUCGGAUGGAUUUGAGUAAGAGCAUAGCUGUUGGGACCCGAAAGAUGGUGAACUAUGCGUGAAUAGGGUGAAGCCAGAGGAAACUCUGGUGGAGGCUCGCAGCGGUUCUGACGUGCAAAUCGAUCGUCAAAUUUGCGUAUAGGGGGCGAAAGACUAAUCGAAACCAUCUAGUAGCUGGGUUCUGCGGA
rnacentral:rRNA from 1 species